CGUCACUUUUUUGCCCAAAUUCUUGAAGUUUCGGCCACUACCACCCCACAAUACCUACAUCAAUGGAUAGAGCUCUUCAAGACCUACCUAUUAAUGUCAAUUCUAUCCCAAAAUCCGGCUAUCAAAAUAUGGCCAAAUUCCGUCAACCUCCCCGAACACUCUCUUUUGACAUACCACCAUUUUUUCGGCCACUUGAAUUGUAAAAUGGUAAUUUUCGGACCAUGUAAACUCAUAAAAUCGAGUUGGAAUGAAAGAUUAAUGAUGCUGGGAAAUAUUAGUAGCUUCAUCCUUCUAUUGUAAUUCAUUUUUAUAUGUUCUUGAAUGUUUGAUAAUGUUAUAACGAUAUGUUAGUUAAUUAAAUUGUGUUAAGCAUCUUUAA